CCUACGGGAGGCAGCAGUGAGGAAUAUUUGACAAUGGCCGAGAGGCUGAACCAGCCAAGUCGCGUGAGGGAAGACGGCCCUUCGGGUUGUAAACCUCUUUUGUCGGGGAGCAAAGAGAGUCACGUGUGACUCAUUGAGAAUACCCGAAGAAAAAGCAUCGGCUAACGCCGGGCCAGCAGCGGCGGUAAUACGGAGGAGGCGAGCGUUAUCCGGAUUUAUUGGGGUUAAAGGGUGCUCAGGCGGAGGUGCAAGUCAGCGGUCAACUUGCGGGGCUCAACCCCGUACUGCCGUUGAAACUGCAUCCCUUGAGUGCGCGAGAAGUAUGCGGAAUGCGCGGUGUAGCGGUGAAAUGCAUAGAUAUCACGCAGAACUCCGAUUGCGAAGGCAGCAUACCGGCGCGUAACUGACGCUCAUGCACGAAGGCGUGGGUAUCGAACAGGAUUAGAUACCCCAGUAGUC
rnacentral:rRNA from 1 species